AAACCAACAGGGAUUGCCUCAGUAACGGCGAGUGAAGCGGCAAAAGCUCAAAUUUGAAACCCUCGGGAUUGUAAUUUGAAGAUUUGGCAUUGGAGAAAGCUAACCCAAGUUACUUGGAAUAGUACGUCAUAGAGGGUGACAACCCCGUCUGGCUAACCGUUCUCCAUGUAUUGCCUUAUCAAAGAGUCGAGUUGUUUGGGAAUGCAGCUCAAAGUGGGUGGUAAACUCCAUCUAAAGCUAAAUACUGGUGAGAGACCGAUAGCGAACAAGUACUGUGAAGGAAAGGUGAAAAGAACUUUGAAAAGAGAGUGAAAUAGUAUGUGAAAUUGUUGAUAGGGAAGGAAAUGAGUGGAGAGUGGUUUAGGUUUCAGCCUUCUUUCGAGGGGGUGCACUACCAACGCCGAGUCAUUGAUAGCGAGACAGGGGUUAUAAACGGACGGCACUUGUGCUAUCUCCUAACCCCUCUACUGCCACCAACGACAUAAUCCACCCAUUUCACCCGUCUUGAAACACGGACCAA
rnacentral:rRNA from 1 species